GAUGAACGCUGGCGGCGUGCCUAAUACAUGCAAGUAGAACGCUGAAGGAAGGAGCUUGCUCUUUCCGGAUGAGUUGCGCACGGGUGAGUAACGCGUAGGUCACCUGCCUGGUAGCGGGGGAUAACUAUUGGAAACGAUAGCUAAUACCGCAUAACAGUAGAUGUUGCAUGAUAUCUACUUAAAAGGUGCAAUUGCACCACUACCAGAUGGACCUGCGUUGUAUUAGCUAGUUGGUGAGGUAACGGCUCACCAAGGCGACGUUACAUAGCCGACCUGAGAGGGUGGUCGGCCACACUGGGACUGAGACACGGCCCAGAGUCCUACGGGAGGCAGCAGUAGGGAAACUGGGGCAAUGGGCGGAAGUCUGACCGAGCAACGCCGCGUGAGUGAAGAAGGUUGUCGGAUCGUAAAGCUCUGUUGUAAGAGAAGAACGAGUGUGAGAGUGGAAAGUUGACACUGUGACGGUAUCUGACCAGAAAGGGACGGCUAACUACGUG
rnacentral:rRNA from 1 species